GAUGAACGUUGGCGGCGUGCCUAAUACAUGCAAGUCGAACGAAGACUGUAGUAAUACUGUCUUAGUGGCGAACGGGUGAGUAACGCGUGGGUGACCUGCCCCGAAGUGUGGGAUAACAGUUCGAAAGAACUGCUAAUACCGCAUAAUAUCCAAGAGAUUAAACGCUUUUGGAUUAAAGGAGUAAUUCGCUUCGGGAGGGGCCCGCGUCCCAUCAGCUAGUUGGUAAGGUAAUGGCUUACCAAGGCGAUGACGGGUAGGGGACCUGAGAGGGUGGCCCCCCACAAUGGAACUGAAACACGGUCCAUACACCUACGGGUGGCAGCAGUAGGGAAUAUUAGUAAUGGGCGAAAGCCUGAACUAGCAACGCCGCGUGUGCGAAGAAGGCCUUCGGGUUGUAAAGCACUUUUUGAGAGGAUGAGGAAGGACGGUACUCUCAGAAUAAGUCUCGGCUAACUACGUGCCAGCAGCCGCGGUAAAACGUCUGCUG
rnacentral:rRNA from 1 species